rnacentral:lncRNA from 1 species
UGAUUUACCACGAAGUUAAAUAUUCUCUCAAUGAAACUCAAUCUUGGUGACCAAAACCGAUUCUGUAAAUGUGUAUAGCACUGAAUGGGGAAGUCAAAGUAUAUGUUAGGAGAACCAUUAUGCAUGUAGAGCAUAAUUAACUAAGAUGCUAAUGAUUCUUUUUCUUUGUUAAAGAAAAAAAAAAUGGAAAAAUAGUUCAGAAGAAUGAUGAUUUUUUCAAAUCUUCCCAACUCAUCAAACACUCUCAUAGACAUCCACAACUACAUAUGGAUUCUCUAAAAGACUAUAUUUGAUUGACGGGAUAUAAUAUAAUAUAUAUAUAUAUCCUACAAUUGGAUAAGAAAUACAAAUCCUAGGAUAUGAUUUUCAAUGGGAUUUGAUAUCCUUAGAUAUUGUAUCUAAUACACGUAAUAUAUCCAAUGAGAUUCAUUGUGCUAUGUUAUUUUUAUAUUUAAUGAGUGAAAUGAAUGAAAAAAAAAAUAGUAUAAAAUAUAUAUUAUUUUUCAAUAUUUAAAAUAAAAAUUAUAUUACAUUUCAACAUUUUCUAUUUAAAAAAAUGAAAAUUUUCUUACUUUUAAUAAUCUUCAUAAUUAAAUAUUUAAACUUUAUAAAUAAAAGUUUUUUAUAUUAUUUUAUUUAAUAUAUAUAUAUAUAUAGUGUGUAUUAAAUAAUACAAACAUUAAUAUUAUUUUAUAAUAUAUUUAUAAAUAUUCUUUUAGUUCUUUUUUAACCACAAUUUAAUUUUAUAAUAAAAAGUUUUUAUUUUGAAAAAUAAGUAAUAUAAAAAAAUAAUAAAUAAAUAAAUUUAUGAAACAUGGGAUAUGCAUAUUCUACAUCUUAAUAAAAGAUGAUAUAAAAAAAGUGGAUAUUAUAUCCCAACAUUUAUCCUAUCAUAUGUAAACAUAGGAUGAGUGAUGAAAUAAAUUAUAUAUAUAAUAUUCAUCCUUUUAUCUUAUCCUGUACCAUAUAAGUUAACCAAACAUUGCCUAAGAGUUUCAUAAGGGGAAGAAGAGGGGGACAAUAUAAGGUGAAAAGCACAAGACAGUUGUUCUUGAUAGUAUUUUUGAUGUGGAAUAAGAUGAUCAUGAUACUCAUGAACACUAAUGGCUUCACAUUGUACUUUCUGGAGGAAGUCAAGGGAACAAGUAGGAGGAAAGCUUGGGCACAUGAGCAUAAGUAUUGGACUACCUAUGGCCUAGAACUUGUGAAUAUAAACAAUAAUAGGCCAUCCUACAUGCUGCAGUAUAACAAAGGGAAAAAUAUGUUUCCUGGUUUCUGUUUGAUGUGACUGCCACUGCUAACUGCUCACAAGGUUAACUACCAAAAAGAGACAGGAGUGCAUUUUCGUUCUCAUACAUCUAGCCAUUGAACAGAAAAAAAAACGGAAGUAUCAAUCAAAUCAUGACAGUUCAGUAAUCACUCAAAAAAAUUGUAGGCUUAAUGCAAACUCCAGUAGUAGCUAAUGGGGCAUCAAAGUGCAAUUGGAAAUUCAAUAGGAGAGUACUCACUCAACAAAGUCAAUAGCCCAAUUUCUUGAAGUGAGCAACAUGAACUGUUUUUAGCUAUAUUGGGAGCUAUGCCCUCAAUUAAAUCUUUAGAGACCCACAUUUCUUUUUGGUCUUCCUCCUGUCCAUUUUAGCCUAUCCAGUGGAACAAGAGAUUAAUUGUGACUCCUAAGAAAUGGAAACAACCCACAAUACUUUGUUACAGUUACAUGGGAAGCAGUUCAUCCUACUGGUUUUCCAGCCUAUUGAGAGUUGUAUCAUUAAAAACAAAUUUUAAUCGUUUCCAUGUCACUUUCUUACCGUGGACCCAUAACUGAAACUAACUUGUAAUCCAGUUUUUUUAGUAGGUGAAUCAUGAAUAUGAUAAGUGCAGGUCCAACACUACCUAGAUCAUCAAUCUCAUUUUUUCCUACCUGCAUUAAGUCCUGCAGUAUCUCUCUGUUUUUCUUUCCCCUUUUUGGUUCUAGAGGACUAACUAAUAUUUGCUUGAGUGCAAAAUUCUAGCCCCACUCCAGUCCUUGGACUCCUGCAUCUUAUAGUUCCCACCGUUUGUCUCACAUGGUGUCAUACUUAGGUUUCCCAUCAAUUCAAACCAUAAAGCAUAAUUAGUCUGGCUCUAUCAAAGUCCAUAAAACAUAAUUAGUCUGGCUCUAUCAAAGUUCUUAAUAAAUUGACCCAUGAUACAUAACCAGUCUAACUGUUCAAAGAUCUUUCCUAUUGUAUGAUUAGAAUGUGUCACACAGCAGAUAUCAUUUUGAAGGCAUCUCUCUGCAUCAGUCACCUAGGUCUAUUUCUAUGGAAGCAUUCUCUUCUGAUCCUUGCCCCUAGCAAACAUAACAACUAAAAAAGUUGACAUUUUGAUUGUUUUCUGAACUUCUUUUGCACAUGCACAAUAGAAUUCAUGAAUGUGAAGGCCCAUGCCUUUGCAAGAGAAUUGGAAUAAGGAGCCCCACGCCUUUAUAAGAGAGGUUUUGGAAAAUGAGGCAAUCCUUGCCUGCACUACAUCAAAUUGAUACCAACCAAAAAGUAAAGAUGCUCUGAAAAUUGACUAAUGUGGUUUGUUGUACUCCAGAGUCCAAUUUGUAUGAAGCAUAUUGGUUCAAUAUCCCACCCUCAGCCCAAGUGACUUGGAAUCAGAUUCUAAUAACAACCAAAUAAGUAAAUAAUAAUAUAGAAGCACCUAAAAAGAGAGGAAAAAAUCUCAAGAACAACCUUUCAAACAUGAUUGUUCAAACUCAAACAGAAGAGUACAUUUCACAGUAAGCCAAGACCAUGGAUCAGAAUCAAAUCUUAUCUGGAACCUGAUAAACAAGUUUUCAAACACGAGCAUUCAAAUGCAGACAGUAAAUUUCAUCUCACAUUUUAGCGAAUCAACCACUAAGGCUUGUCCAGAUAAUUUUUUCACAUUUUAGGAUCACCAGUCCCAAAGAGGACAGAAUCUUUCUUUUGUUUUUUUAUCUGUGCUUGUGCUUCUGAUUUCCUUGGGCUCCAUGCCUCAGAUUUUUGUAACGCUUGGUGCAUUUGUCUACUCUUCAUAGGACAUUUUGGUACUUCUACAUUUCGCUUGUUUUUCUCUUUUUUUUUUUUCUUUUUCAGUAAGAAGUUUUACUAAUAACUACUAUCUCAGAUAUUUACAACCAAUUGAACCAUUUAUAAACAAAUAUGACCCUAUUUGACAACUCUACUAAGAUGUAUAUGUCUUUUCUAUUAAAGGAAUUACAGUAAGAAGCAAUAAUGUCAGCAGGUGAAUUCAUCUUUCCACAUACAUUAAUAUCUUUCCAUUACCUAAGGUUUGUAGCACCUCAAACUAUUCUCUUAAAUACUCUACUGAACACCAAAGAGCUCUAGCACUUUCAAGCUAUCCUUACCAUUGGAUGAAUCACUGGCAACAGUACCUUCUUUAGACUCUUUGAAUCUGCCACUCCCAAGCAAAUAGAAUAGCAUCAGGUUCACAUGACAAGCUUCCUUUUUCAUUUGCUAACAAUAUUCACUUUUAUCCAUCCCUAAUAGUUUCCUUCUUAAGUUACAGUAAUAGUAACUAAUAAAAAAUGGAUUUUUAUACUUGGUGUAUAUUAUUAGAUACCCUUUGUGUUUACUUAUUAGGGGGCAGUUCAUCUUGUUGUUUCAGGGGACAAUGGUUGUACUUAAAGUAAAGCGGCACCAACAAUCUUUCAUUUUCUUAUUCUUUCCUUUCCAUUUUUGAAACACCCCUUGCAAAAAUAGAACAAAAACUUUCAUCCUUCACCCAGUUAGUUCUUCCUCUGGCAUCUCUACUUCUUUCUUCUGUUCAAUUGUCUUUUUAUUUUAUCUUCUCAUUUUUAUUUGUUCUACACCCUUAUUUACCAGCAAGGUAACAUUUUUCUUUCUGUUAGAUCACAAUCCCAAGUUUUCCUUUCAGUUAAAACCUGACGGUUGGUUGCAAAAAAAAUCAGCAAAUCAGCAAAUACUUUCUCACAGAGCACGUGCAAAAAUAAAAAAUUAAAAACAAUAAAGAAACAUGUAUUUGAGCACAACAUUAUUUAUAUAGCUUAGUGCAUAUAACAAUAUAUUAAACAAAAGGUCCUGCACAUGUUUGACCAAAUUAAUCUAUAAUGCUACUGCAUAAGAUUGGGGUAUUAAAUAUCCAACAUUAUCUUCCUUUACAAUCCAAAGUUUUUUCACCAUUUUUUGUUCAGCCAAUUUGCAUGAUAUUUGAAUAAAUAGAGGAUCAUUAUAAGAAAUUGAUUUCGUAAUUCUUGCCCAAAUUCCACCAUUGAAUUCUUUUACCUCACUUUAUUUGACAGUAAUGAAAUCUUGCUAUUUCUGAAUAGGAAUCAUUCAGAUCUGUGCUGUUUGGUCCGGCUAUGCAUCAACUAUGCAUUAGUUGAUACAUAAUAGCAUCAACAACACAAGCAACAUGAAAUGUAAGACAUCAAUUUAUCAUUGUCAAAUUAAGAUGACUCAUCAAAGAGUCUUAGAAAAGAAAAACUCUUUUGUCAAACUACCAUAUGAACCUACCAAUGAUAACACCUCCUGGUUGAUACACCUCAGUAUCACUGAUAGAUAGUCUUUACCAUGUUGAACCAUGCUUACCACAUUUCAAAUGUCACUCAUACAAUUGAAGCAGUUUUCGGACUAGAACUCUCUUGCAUAGCACAUUUGUUUGCCCUAGUAUCCUCAUUAGAAAAUAAAUUUUCACAAAUAAAAUAAAAUGUAUUCAGAUCUUAUCCAACAGGUAAUUAUUGUUGAAUAGAAGCAACACUUACG